UACGGAGGGGGCUAGCGUUGUUCGGAAUUACUGGGCGUAAAGCGCACGUAGGCGGCUUUGUAAGUUAGAGGUGAAAGCCCAGGGCUUGACCCUGGAAUUGCCUUUAAGACUGCAUCGCUAGAAUCGUGGAGAGGUGAGUGGAAUUCCGAGUGUAGAGGUGAAAUUCGUAGAUAUUCGGAAGAACACCAGUGGCGAAGGCGGCUCACUGGCCCGGUUCUGACGCUGAGGUGCGAAAGCGUGGGGAGCAAACAGG
rnacentral:rRNA from 1 species